GACGAACGCUGGCGGCGUGCUUAACACAUGCAAGUCGAACGGAAAGGCCCUGCUUGCAGGGUACUCGAGUGGCGAACGGGUGAGUAACACGUGGGUGAUCUGCCCUGCACUUCGGGAUAAGCCUGGGAAACUGGGUCUAAUACCGGAUAGGAGCCAUUUUUAGUGUGAUGGUUGGAAAGUUUUUUCGGUGUAGGAUGAGCUGGCGGCCUAUCAGCUUGUUGGUGGGGUAAUGGCCUACCAAGGCGGCGACGGGUAGCCGGCCUGAGAGGGUGGGCGGCCACAUUGGGACUGAGAGGAGGCCCAGGCAGCGAAGGGAGGGAGCAGGGGGGAAGAUUGCAGGAUGGGCGCAAGGCUGGUGCAGCGGGGCCGCGGGGGGGAUGACGGCGUUAGGGUUGUAAACUCAUUUCGCUAGGGACGAAGCUUUUUGUGACGGUACCUAGACAGGAAGCACCGGCUAACUACGUG
rnacentral:rRNA from 1 species